rnacentral:tRNA from 1 species
GGAUAGAGCAUCCCGAUUUUUAAUCGGGACGGUCGAAGGUUCGAAUCCUUCUGCGUUCA